AAAAAGACGAUGAAGGAAAGGAGUAGCCGCCAGGUAGACGUGCCAGGGAAUGGGUUGCCGGGGACUGGAAGCACCCUACGGAAGCCUGCCGGUGAAGUUCGUUCCGGAGUUUUCCUCCUGAAGGGCUUUUAGGCCUGGGUAGGGAGGUGCGGCGUCAAGCCGUUAUCCUGAAUGAGUGAGGCUGUUAUUGGCCUAAGAAGGGUGGUACCGCGGUCCUCUCGUCCCUUUG
rnacentral:ncRNA from 1 species